rnacentral:rRNA from 1 species
AGAACGAACGCUGGCGGCAGGCUUAACACAUGCAAGUCGAACGCCCCGCAAGGGGAGUGGCAGACGGGUGAGUAACGCGUGGGAAUCUACCUGGUUCUACGGAAUAACACAGGGAAACUUGUGCUAAUACCGUAUACGCCCUAUGGGGGAAAGAUUUAUCGGUGCCAGAUGAGCCCGCGUAAGAUUAGCUAGUUGGUGGGGUAAUGGCCUACCAAGGCGACGAUCUUUAGCUGGUCUGAGAGGAUGAUCAGCCACACUGGGACUGAGACACGGCCCAGACUCCUACGGGAGGCAGCAGUGGGGAAUAUUGGACAAUGGGCGAAAGCCUGACGCAGCGACGCCGCGUGGGGGAUGAAGGCCUUCGGGUUGUAACCCCUUUCAGCAGGGACGAAGCGAAAGUGACGGUACCGUGCAGAAGAAGCGCCGGCUAACUACGUGCCAGCAGCCGC